rnacentral:rRNA from 1 species
AUGCCGCCGCCGCAGAAAAAGACCAAGGUGGAGGACGAGGUGCCCCGCGCGACGGUGGCCAGCGCCGUGGUGUCGCUGACCAACUGGAUGCGCGAGCGCGCGGCGGAGGCACCCCCGAACCUGCUCGCGGACGAGCGCGACGACGUCGUGGUGCUCCAGCUCUCGCUCCGCCGCGUCCCGCCCAAGCCCACCACCAAGCCGCACCUCCUCCCGCUCCCGCACCCCGUCGUCGCCCACUCGGCCGCCUCCGUCUGCGUCAUCUCCGACGACCGCGCCGGCUCCGGAUCCCCCGCCGCCGCCCCCAUCCUUGACGCGGCCAGGUCCCUCGAGCUCCCCGUCUCGGAGGCCAUCCCCUUCUAUGCCCUGCGGACCGACUACCGCCCCUACGAGUCGUGCCGCCGCUUGGCCGCCUCCUACGACCUCUUCCUCGCCGACCGCGCCCUGCUCCCGAUCUUGCCCUGCCUCCUCGGGAAGUCCUUGUACUCCACCAAAAAGGCCCCACUCGCGGUCGACUUCACCCGGGCUGGAUGGCCAGAGCAGGUCCACAAUGUCCUGAGCUCCACUUGCGUCUACCUGCGAUCCGGUACCUGCUCGGGGAUCAAGGUGGGCAGGCUGGACAUGGAGGAAGAGGAGAUCGUCGAGAACGUGAUGGCGGCAGUGGAGGCUGCUGUGGAGAAGGUGCCAGAAAAGUGGGCAAACGUGAGGGCUUUGCAUCUCAAGGCUGUGGACUCGGUUGCCCUGCCGAUAUACCAGGUUGUGCCGGAGUUGGGCAUGAAGAUUGAGGUUUGUUAG